rnacentral:rRNA from 1 species
GUGAGGUAACGGCUCACCAAGGCAUCGACGGGUAGCUGGUCUGAGAGGACGAUCAGCCACACUGGGACUGAGACACGGCCCAGACUCCUACGGGAGGCAGCAGUAGGGAAUCUUGCACAAUGGGCGAAAGCCUGAUGCAGCGACGCCGCGUGGGGGAUGGAGGCCUUCGGGUUGUAAACCCCUUUCAGUAGGGACGAAAAUGACGGUACCUACAGAAGAAGCUCCGGCCAACUACGUGCCAGCAGCCGCGGUAACACGUAGGGAGCAAGCGUUGUCCGGAUUUAUUGGGCGUAAAGAGCUCGUAGGUGGUUCGGUAAGUCGGAUGUGAAAACUCAAGGCUCAACCUUGAGACGCCAUCCGAUACUGCUGUGACUUGAGUUCGGUAGAGGAGUGUGGAAUUCCUGGUGUAGCGGUGAAAUGCGCAGAUAUCAGGAGGAACACCGACAGCGAAGGCAGCACUCUGGGCCGAUACUGACACUGAGGAGCGAAAGCAUGGGGAGCAAACAGGAUUAGAUACCCUGGUAGUCCAUGCCGUAAACGUUGGGCACUAGGUGUGGGGAUUUAUCAACGAUCUCCGCGCCGUCGCUAACGCAUUAAGUG